GAUUAAUCUCUACUCCUUCGUUUUUCUUAUUCUGUGGAUUUUAUAUGGGGAUUGGCAACCAAUUUUAAGAUGCAUUACCGCCAGCAACUGAACUGGAGCGUGGACCUCAUUCAUCUUGGGUCACCAGGCUGCUCGUUAUGGCGCACACCUGUCACCAGCGUUACGCGCAUAAUGACACUCACCUGGACUCCAUCACCUCCUUGACUACUUGCCUUAUAGGACCUGAGCCCUAGGACCAUGCCUCAGGACUACCUGGCAUGAUGACUCCUUGCUGUCCCCAGUCCACCUGGCCGUGCUGCUGCUCCAGUUUCAACUGUUCUGCCUGCGGCUAUGGAACCCUGACCUGUUCACCGGACGUGCUUGUUGCACCCUCGACAACUACUAUGAUUAUUAUUAUUUGACCAUGCUGGUCAUUUAUGAACAUUUUAACAUCUUGACCAUGUUCUGUUAUAAUGCACAGCCAGAAGAGGACUGUCCACCCCUCAUAGCCUGGUUCCUCUCUAGGUUUCUUCCUAGGUUUUGGCCUUUCUAGGGAGUUUUUCCUAGGGAGUUUUUCCUAGCCACCGUGCUUCUUUCACAUGCAUUGCUUGCUGUUUGGGGUUUUAGGCUGGGUUUCUGUACAGCACUUUGAGAUAUCAGCUGAUGUACGAAGGGCUAUAUAAAUACAUUUGAUUUGAUUUGAUUUGAUACAAAAGAUCCC
rnacentral:lncRNA from 1 species